GCGGACGUGGCCAAGUGGAUUA
rnacentral:tRNA from 1 species